GACGAACGCUGGCGGCGUGGAUUAGGCAUGCAAGUCGAACGGUAUCAUCCUUUCGGGGGUGAGAGAGUGGCGAACUGGUGAGUAACACGUAGGUUAUCUACCCUCAAGACGGGGACAACCCAGGGAAACUUGGGCUAAUACCGGAUGUGAGCAACUUUUAGUUGUUUGAAAGGUGGCGUAAGCUGUCGCUUGGGGAUGAGCCUGCGUCCUAUUAGUUAGUUGGUGAGGUAACGGCUCACCUAGGCAAUGAUAGGUAGGCGGCCUUAACGGGUGGUCGCCCACACUGGGAUUGAGAUACGGCCCAGACUCCUACGGGAGGCAGCAGUCGAGAAUAGUCUACAAUGGUACGGAAGACUGAUAGUGCGACGCCGGUGAACGAUGAAUCCCUUCGGGUGUAAAGUUCUUUUAUAUGUGAGCAGUGCUUCUUAUAUUAACAGUAUGGGGAGAGAGAUAUUAGCAUAUGAAUAAGCAACGGCUAACUCCGUGCCAGCAGCCGCGGUAAACUCGU
rnacentral:rRNA from 1 species